GUGUCAGCCGCCGCGGUAAUACGUAGGUGGCAAGCGUUGUCCGGAUUUACUGGGCGUAAAGGAUGUGUAGGCGGAUUUUUAAGUGAGAUGUGAAAUCCCCGGGCUUAACUUGGGGGCUGCAUUUGAAACUGGAUGUCUAGAGUGCAGGAGAGGAAAGCAGAAUUCCUAGUGUAGCGGUGAAAUGCGUAGAGAUUUGGAGGAAAACCAGUGGCGAAGGCGGCUUUCUGGUCUGUAACUGACUCUGAGGCGUGAAAGCGUGGGGAGCAAAAAGGUUUAGAUACCCUGGUAGUCCACGCCGUAAACGAUGAGUACUAAGUGUUGGAG
rnacentral:rRNA from 1 species